rnacentral:rRNA from 1 species
ACGAACGCUGGCGGCGUGCUUAACACAUGCAAGUCGAACGGAAAGGCCCUGCUUUUGUGGGGUGCUCGAGUGGCGAACGGGUGAGUAACACGUGAGUAACCUGCCCUUUACUUUGGGAUAACUUCAGGAGACUGGGGCUAAUACCGGAUAGGAGCUCCUGCUGCAUGGGGGGGGUUGGAAAGUUUCGGCGGUUGGGGAUGGACUCGCGGCUUAUCAGCUUGUUGGUGGGGUAGUGGCUUACCAAGGCUUUGACGGGUAGCCGGCCUGAGAGGGUGACCGGCCACAUUGGGACUGAGAUACGGCCCAGACUCCUACGGGAGGCAGCAGUGGGGAAUAUUGCACAAUGGGCGGAAGCCUGAUGCAGCAACGCCGCGUGCGGGAUGACGGCCUUCGGGUUGUAAACCGCUUUCGCCUGUGACGAAGCGUGAGUGACGGUAAUGGGUAAAGAAGCACCGGCUAACUACGUG